rnacentral:lncRNA from 1 species
GCAUCUUUCAUCAAUAUCUUCUUAUGGUAGAAAAGAAACGGAUCUCCUUGGUUUUCUCACUCCAGGUUUGGAGUUGCCAUGGCUUCCAAGAUUUAUUGGGGAAGGAGAAAUGUAAUUCCUCCCAAAGAUGUAUUUUGCCAAUGGAGAUUUUUUUCUCUUAUUGAAUUCUCAUGGAUGUGUGAUAUUUUGAGCUAUUUAUUUGUUAAUUCUGACCAUCUUUUACAAAUAGUCUUGUCUGCAAAAGCUGGGGAUAUACCGUAUGUCUAUCUAUCACUUAAGUGUUUGUAUAUGUAUAUGUGGUUGUUUGUAAGUGUAUGUAAAUAUGUAUAUAGAUAUAGCCGAUGAAGUUAUUUUCACAUAUUGAUUGAUAACUAUAGUAUUUUUUAAAAAUAAAAAAUGUUAUCCCACACACACCCUUUAUUUUGCUAUUUCAAACCUGAAGUCUUUUCUUUUGUGAUGAGAUUCAGAAUUGAUUGGGCACAUGGGCCACUAUGAACCUAAAUGUCAUUUAAGGGAAACUUGGGUUAAACACUAGGAGAGUUUUUUCUUUUAAGAAAACUAAUUUGUUUAAUUGUGAAAUUCAUCGGACUUAACCAAUAUGUAUUGGACAUCAUCUGUAAGUCCAGAAGGUGACUAUUGCAGAGGGGUCUUAGUGAGAUACAAAAGAAAUCUCCAGGUUCCCAGUCCCUCAGAAAGUGUCAGCCUAGAACUGGGGCUUAAUUAUGGGGCUUCCAUAAUUUGUAUGAAAAUAAAUCAGAAUCUUUAACACAUUGCAAUCCUGUUUCCUCAUUGUUUUCCCUCUCAUUGUCAGAACUAUUUUUAACAGCCUGAAUGCAUAGAAAUCAACUGGAGCCAUGUAAUUAGAAAGUUUUCCCUCAAAGGACAAUAACAUGUAACCUGGAUUUCUCACAUAAAGUAAGCUCAACAUAUAGUUUCAGCAAAGGGAUUAAAAGACAAAAUAUACUCUUAACCUUUUUAAGGCUUCCUCAGUUAUAUAAGAUUAACAGAAUAGAAGUUCAGCCAAGGAAUCUCUGGAAAAUUGUAGUUUUGUAUUAUGAUUACUGAGAAUGAAUAGAUGGAAAAUUCCAUGCCUAACAAUGUUUUAGAGACUAUUAUCUAAUGGGGGAGAAAUAUGUGAAUAUUUAUAAGGCAGGCAAGCUGCCAGAGGAAUACUGAUAUAUUGCACGUAUGGGAUAGCCUACCUUUGCCCCACCCUUUUUGACAGUAAGUAUGAUUAUUAUAUUUAUCCUUUCCAGAUCAAUAAAGUAUACAUAGAAUACUAUGGCCACAUGAACAAAGGAAAGGAGGGCUAGCAGGUUUAAACAGAUGUUUGCAGUGUACAGUUGGUUUGAGUGUACAACCAUGAAAUUUGUUUGGAGCCUAAUUUGAUGAAAGGAGAAAUCAAGGCUUAAAAAUAUUCUUUAGCUCAGCAAUUCUACUACUAGGAACUCAUCCUAAGGAAAAGAAAUCAAAAGAAGGUACAAAGAUGAAUAUAUAAAAAUGGUUAUUGAUCAUAAGGCUUUUGUAAUAGUAAAAAAUCCCCCCAAAUAGGGAGUUAUUUAAUCAUAGUUUAUAAGCCAAGUAAAAGGUAAUUAAAAUUAGUAAAGUAGGCUGGGUGCAGGACAAUAGAGAUUAGUGGCAAAUUGGGAGUAUGGCAGGCAUGUACACAGCUCUAGAGAAGGGUUGUUUUGUUGGGAUGUUGGCUCAGGCUUGCUAAAGAUUUUAUGUAUCAAAAUAAAUUGGAAAUUAUAUUUUUGUAGGCUGUCUACCAGUUUUUGAAGUUAUAUGCAGAAAAAAAAGUCAAAGUAGUUUUGGGCCCUGAGUCUUGGGCUGCCGGUAUGCAAUAUUUUAACAAAUAACUUCCAUGAAACUCUAUAGUGGGACAAAAUGCCAUUACUAAAAAUGAUGCUAUAAUUGUAUCUUUAUUGACCUAUAAAGAUGCUCCAGAUGUUGAAAAGUAGCAUGUGUAAUAUGAUCCUGGUUUUUGCACAUACAUUUAACAUAUAUUUGUUACAUUUGUAUGCAGAGGGAAAAGGCUUGCAUUAUAUCCACUUAAAUCAUCAUGUCUGUCUCUGGGUAAGGGAUUCGGGGACAUUUUUAUUUUGUAUUUUCUACUUUUCUUCUACAGAAAUUAAAAAAGCACUAAAGCUGUUGGGAAAAAAUUAAUGAGUUCAGAAAUCAGUUUGAUAAAGAUGUUUUAUAUUACUAGUAAGAUUAUUUUCCAAAAGGCUACCAGAGUUAUGAAGAUAAAUAAGAUGGAGUCUCUUCCCCCUAGGAGUCCACAGUCUAAUGAGAAUCUCCCAGUGUUACCUUUUAAUAGUGUAACUUAGAAAUGUAAUCAUGGAAUAAAAUAAGGACACAAGAACAAAGGAAUUUAGAAAUUGGAAAAACUGCAAUUUUUCCAUUUUUGUGGCCUGAUUUAGAAUGCCAGGAUAGUAAAAUUUCAGGAAUCUAUAUCUUUGUAGAAUUGUACUUGAUUUUAACUGGAAAAUUGUCAUAACUUAGAACUAUUAAAAAUACAGAUGAAAAUUAAAUACUAACAGUUUUACCAGAAAAAUUACAGUGAUUUAUGUGAUUUGUUUUCUUGGAAUUCCAAAAAUAAUUAGGUAAAUGCCAUGUUCCAAAUACAAUGGUUCUUCCUAAAGCAGGUUUGUCUUGGACAAAAUCUAAAGUUUAGUUGCCAGAAAUCUUCCUCAUCAUUAAAAGGUGUUAAAAGUGGCACAGAUCCCAAAGAUAACACUUUCAGGAGACUUUAGUGUAUUUUCUACUGUAAUAAAAAAUACUGAAGAGAUUAAAUAAAUAAAAUUUUCAGCUAUUUAAAUUUUAUUUUAGCCUUAUAAAAGCAUCUUGUAGAACCUCACAUGAAGCAUUGAGGACAAUGAAAAUAUAUAAAUAGAGCAGUCAUAUGCAAAAUGUAACAUGAGCUGACAUGAUGAAAUGUGCUAGUGACAUAAAAUGAUGGUGGGAGAUGCUAGGUGUAAACGAUGGGAUAAAACUAAGGAAACUGGCUGACUAGAAGUAGCAUAUGUAAAUGUGUAUCUGUAAUUCAAUAUAUAGAAAUGUAAUGACCCUAGACUCUAAAUUUAAAAGGAAUGUGCUGUCAGUAGCCAUAUGCUACAAAACAUUUAAGAGAAAAAGAAUCUCUGGGUAGAUUGGUAGAUUCUUUUGUAGAAAAGCACAUAAAAGUUUCUGCAUAGGUUUUCAUAACAAUACCCACCCCCCCCAAACAAUUCCAAGAGGCACUAAUGAAAGCAUCAGAUUUGGAGUUCCCCUCAUGGCACUGUGGUUAAUGAAUCCGACUAGGAACCAUGAGGUUGCGGGUUCUGUCCCUGCCCUUGCUCAGUGGGUUAACCAUCUGAGUGAGCUGUGGUGUAGGUUGCAGACGCGGCUCGGAUCCCGCAUUGCUGUGGCUCUGGCAUAGGCCAGCAGCUACAGCUCCGAUUCGACCCCUAGCCUGGGAACCCCCAUAUGCCGCGGGAGCGGCCCAAGAAAUAGCAAAAAGACAAAAUAAAUAAAUAAAUAGAUAAAAAUAAAAAAGUAAAAAUAAAAGCAUCAGAUUUAAGUAGAGGGAAUUAUAAAAGGAUUUUUAAAAAUGUCACUGGGAUUAUGUAGAGAAAAUCAUAUACACUUUUGUGUUUUACUUUAAAAACAGAGAAACAAUAAAGCUUAGAAAAAGUAUGUAAU